rnacentral:rRNA from 1 species
AGUGAACGCUGGCGGUAGGCCUAACACAUGCAAGUCGAACGGCAGCACAGUAAGAGCUUGCUCUUACGGGUGGCGAGUGGCGGACGGGUGAGGAAUACAUCGGAAUCUACUUUUUCGUGGGGGAUAACGUAGGGAAACUUACGCUAAUACCGCAUACGACCUACGGGUGAAAGCAGGGGAUCUUCGGACCUUGCGCGAUUGAAUGGGCCGAUGUCGGAUUAGCUAGUUGGCGGGGUAAAGGCCCACCAAAGCGACGAUCCGUAGCUGGUCUGAGAGGAUGAUCAGCCACACUGGAACUGAGACACGGUCCAGACUCCUACGGGAGGCAGCAGUGGGGAAUAUUGGACAAUGGGCGCAAGCCUGAUCCAGCCAUACCGCGUGGGUGAAGAAGGCCUUCGGGUUGUAAAGCCCUUUUGUUGGGAAAGAAAAGCAGCAGGUUAAUACCCCGCUGUUCUGACGGUACCCAAAGAAUAAGCACCGGCUAACUUCGU